rnacentral:rRNA from 1 species
CGAAAGCCUGACGGAGCAAUACCGCGUGAGGGACGACUGCCUAUGGGUUGUAAACCUCUUUUUUCAGGGAGGAAUCAAUGACGUUACCUGAAGAAUAAGCAUCGGCUAACUCCGUGCCAGCAGCCGCGGUAAGACGGAGGAUGCAAGUGUUAUCCGGAAUCACUGGGCGUAAAGCGUCUGUAGGUUGUUGUUUAAGUCAACUGUUAAAUCUUGAGGCUCAACCUCGAAAUCGCAGUCGAAACUAUUCAACUUGAGUAUAGUAGGGGUAAAGGGAAUUUCCAGUGGAGCGGUGAAAUGCGUAGAUAUUGGAAAGAACACCGAUGGCGAAAGCACUUUACUGGGCUAUUACUAACACUCAGAGACGAAAGCUAGGGUAGCA